CAGCAGCCGCGGUAAUACGGAGGGGGUUAGCGUUGUUCGGAAUUACUGGGCGUAAAGCGCUCGUAGGCGGAUUGGUCAGUCAGAGGUGAAAGCCCAGGGCUCAACCUUGGAAUUGCCUUUGAUACUGCCAGUCUUGAGUUCAGGAGAGGUAAGCGGAAUUCCGAGUGUAGAGGUGAAAUUCGUAGAUAUUCGGAGGAACACCAGAGGCGAAGGCGGCUUACUGGACUGAUACUGACGCUGAGGAGCGAAAGCGUGGGGAGCAAACAGGAUUAGAUACCCUGGUAG
rnacentral:rRNA from 1 species